rnacentral:rRNA from 1 species
AAAACACAAAUAGUAAAAAACUUUCAACAACGGACUCUUGGUUCCGCAUCGAUGAAGAACGCGCGAAUGCGAUAAGUAAUGUGAAUUGCAAAAUUCAGUGAAUCUCAAUCUUUGAACGCCAUUGCGCCCCUCGGUAUUCCGGGGGGCAUGCUGUUCGAGCGUCAUUGCA